rnacentral:rRNA from 1 species
CCUACGGGAGGCAGCAGUGGGGAAUUUUGCGCAAUGGGCGAAAGCCUGACGCAGCAACACCGCGUGAGGGAUGAAGUUCUUUGGAGCGUAAACCUCUGUCAGUGGGGACGAAUUUUGACGGUACCCACAAAGGAAGCAUCGGCUAACUACGUGCCAGCAGCCGCGGUAAGACGUAGGAUGCGAGCGUUGUCCGGAAUCAUUGGGCGUAAAGAGUUCGUAGGCGGCAUGUCAAGUCUGGUGUUAAAGCCCGGGGCUCAACCCCGGUUUCGCACCGGAUACUGGCAAGCUAGAGUGCAGAAGAGGCAAGGGGAAUUCCCAGUGUAGCGGUGAAAUGCGUAGAUAUUGGGAGGAACACCGGUGGCGUAAGCGCCUUGCUGGGCUGUUACUGACGCUGAGGAACGAAAGCCAGGGGAGCGAAUGGGAUUAGAUACCCCGGUAGUC